UACUCCCGCGCGGGGGAACUAGCAUAUCAAUAAGCGGAGGAAAAGAAACCAACAGGGAUUGCCCUAGUAACGGCGAGUGAAGCGGCAACAGCUCAAAUUUGAAAUCUGGCUCUUUCAGAGUCCGAGUUGUAAUUUGCAGAGGGCGCUUUGGCGUUGGCAGCGGUCCAAGUUCCUUGGAACAGGACGUCACAGAGGGUGAGAAUCCCGUACGUGGUCGCUGGCCUUCGCCGUGUAAAGCCCCUUCGACGAGUCGAGUUGUUUGGGAAUGCAGCUCUAAAUGGGAGGUAAAUUUCUUCUAAAGCUAAAUACUGGCCAGAGACCGAUAGCGCACAAGUAGAGUGAUCGAAAGAUGAAAAGCACUUUGGAAAGAGAGUCAAAUAGCACGUGAAAUUGUUGAAAGGGAAGCGCUUGCAGCCAGACUUGCCUGUAGUUGCUCAUCCGGGCUUUUGCCCGGUGCACUCUUCUAUAGGCAGGCCAGCAUCAGUUUGGGCGGUUGGAUAAAGGUCUCUGUCAUGUACCUCUCUUCGGGGAGGCCUUAUAGGGGAGACGACAUGCAACCAGCCUGGACUGAGGUCCGCGCAUUUGCUAGGAUGCUGGCGUAAUGGCUGUAAGCGGCCCGUCUUGAAACACGGACCAAGGAGUCUAACAUCUAUGCGAGUGUUUGGGUGUCAAGCCCGAACGCGUAAUGAAAGUGAACGGAGGUGGGAACCCUUACGGGCGCACCAUCGACCGAUCCUGAUGUCUUCGGAAGGAUUUGAGUAAGAGCAUGGCUGUUGGGACCCGAAAGAUGGUGAACUAUGCUUGAAUAGGGUGAAGCCAGAGGAAACUCUGGUGGAGGCUCGCAGCGGUUCUGACGUGCAAAUCGAUCGUCAAAUUUGGGCAUAGGGGCGAAAGACUAAUCGAACUUGUAAUCGCCC
rnacentral:rRNA from 1 species